rnacentral:rRNA from 1 species
GACGAACGCUGGCGGCGUGCUUAACACAUGCAAGUCGAACGGAAAGAGAUGAAAGAGCUUGCUCUUUUAUUAAUUUCAGUGGCAAACGGGUGAGUAACACGUAAACAACCUGCCUUAAGGAUGGGGAUAACAGACGGAAACGACUGCUAAUACCGAAUACGUUCUAAGCAUCGCAUGAUGCAUAGAAGAAAGGGUGGCCUCUACAAGAAAGCUAUCGCCUUAAGAGGGGUUUGCGACUGAUUAGGUAGUUUGUGAGGUAACGGCUCACCAAGCCGACGAUCAGUAGCCGGUCUGAGAGGAUGAACGGCCACACUGGAACUGAGACACGGUCCAGACUCCUACGGGAGGCAGCAGUGGGGAAUCUUCCGCAAUGGACGAAAGUCUGACGGAGCAACGCCGCGUGAACGAAGAAGGUCUUCGGAUUGUAAAGUUCUGUGAUUCGGGACGAAAGGGUUUGUGGUGAAUAAUCAUAGACAUUGACGGUACCGAAAAAGCAAGCCACGGCUAACUACGUGCCAGCAGCCGCGGUAAUACGUAGGUGGCAAGCGUUGUCCGGAAUUAUUGGGCGUAAAGCGCGCGCAGGCGGUUUCUUAAGUCCAUCUUAAAAGCGUGGGGCUCAACCCCAUGAGGGGAUGGAAACUGGGAAGCUGGAGUAUCGGAGAGGAAAGUGGAAUUCCUAGUGUAGCGGUGAAAUGCGUAGAGAUUAGGAAGAACACCGGUGGCGAAGGCGACUUUCUAGACGAAAACUGACGCUGAGGCGCGAAAGCGUGGGGAGCAAACAGG